rnacentral:lncRNA from 7 species
AGGAACCAAUGCUUGCUUUGAAAUUCUUUUAUACACCAAGGUCAUCAAAAAACAAGCAAACAAAUAAAAAACAACUUUAAAUGAUAAAUAAUUACACUUCAUACUACAUCUGUCUCCAUGGAAAUAAGACCUUUCACCUCUUUACACUUCUCUAUGUUUUCUGGCCCUGGUGGUGUGUUGAAGAGGUUCAGAAGAAGGCAACGAUUCAGCAGCUUGCUCAGUCCCACACCACGGACUGUGUCUUCCUGUACAGUCCCAUCCCAAAGGAGAACCUUGGAGAGCAGCUGCAGUAAUGGAGAAACAGAACAUGCAUAUCUGAUGGCUGAGCCUUGAUCCAUAGCAGCAAAAAGAUUCUUUUGUACUUGACCUCAGUAUUAUUCGUUAGCAAGAGUUGUCUUCAGUUACCUGUUAUCACUAUAGAAAUGACUAUUUAAAAAGACUUAAGCCCAGUGUAAGAACAUGGCUGGUCUCCCCCUCAACACAGAAUGGUUAAUGUCAAGGUAACUGUUAACCUCAAGGUAGUUCACCCACACAGACACAGUACGUGAUCUUAGCAGUCACCAGUCAGAAAGCAGUCGCAAAGCCCACGACUACUGCAUACUUCUCUGGAGUGCUUGGCAGGACAAUUCCUUUUGACUCCAUGAGCUGCUAGGAAAGUUAGACUGUAUGAUGGCACAAAACCUCAUCAACUGUACUUCCUCAUUAAAAUAGUUCCUGUCCUCUUCUCACCCAGCCCUUUGUGAGUACUCUCCCAUACAAUUUCUGGGCAUGGUUUAGAGGACAUUCCCGAUAGGCAGCCUGCAGAUGAUCACCUGCUUUGAAAGACAGCACCAAUAGGGGCUGCACAACGGCAGUCUCAAACACAGAUAAGUCACACUAAUAAGCUGCUGAACAGAUCCAAAGAGUUUAAUGCAUGACCCGCAGUACUACUUACUCUGGGGUAAACAAAUUCACGACUUCACUCCAGAAAAAAAAGAGUGGCAAACUAUCAGAAAAUACCCAACAGAAACACAUAUUCAACCAUUCUGCACAUCACCACUUCUAAAGAGAACCCUGACAGUGAGGAUGGAAAACAAACUGAAAGGAGAAAACUUCAAUCUGCAGUGAAAGACCACUGGUCUCGCUUUUAGAAACUUGCAUGUAUUUGACAGGACAUUUAAGUCGGG